UCGCGACCCCAGGUCAGGC
rnacentral:rRNA from 4 species